CCGGCGCGGCGCGCGCGGCGGCUGCAGGGGGACGUGAGGCCCGUGAGGUCGAUCCCAGGGAUGAGGCGUCUCACAGAGGCUGCGAGGGGCUCACAGCAACAGCCAGCUCCGUGCUUGUCUGGAUGCUCUGGUCAUGUCACUGGUCACCACAGAGAAAUUUUAUGAUUCCCACCCCUAUUUUCCUUCUGGAGCUUUCAGUGAGCAGCCUUGCUCUGCACAGCUGAAGAGGGCAGGGAAUGCCAGUGGAGGGCUCCAGGACCCCUGACUGGGAAGAGAUUAGCAAGACCUACUGGGAUAGGAGACUGGAAGUGAGAGGAAGAAUGACAAAUCUGAGAUUCCAGGGUCUCCAGCCUCUCUGAAAAACAAGGGGCACACGGCAGAGUACUUUAAAAUGGCUGAUACUUCUCCACAUAGACCUACUGCCCUCCCGUGGCUGCCAAGGAGCAUCUCUAAAGCAGAAACUGAGAUCAGGGACUGAGGGAAACAACAAAGAAAAAUAACUCUAUAUUCAAACCAAAACCCAGUUUGAGUUACAAGGAAGAGGAAAGCAAACACAGUGGGAUUAACUGGAAGUACCUAUGAAGGCAAGAACAAAGAGCCUGAAGUCAGGAUGAAUGAGACCAUGAGUAUCAAGUUAAAGCUGUGUGCUUCUGCAA